GGAAGGAAAAAGGGAGGUGGAGUCGCAAUAUAUUGCAAGGAGCACAUUCCAACGCAGUCCAGGCAAUAUAUACAAGAUGUGACUGAUCUGGAGUUUGUUCUAACUAAACUAGAUUCUCCAAUAAAAGCAGCAAUUGUAGCUGUGUAUAGGCCACCACAAUAUAAUGUUCAAGAUUUCUUGAACAACCUAAAGAGUGUGCUGGAUUAUAUGGACCUUGCACACGAUCUCACCAUCAUCUGUGGAGACUUCAAUGAGGACCUUCUACAAGCUGGAAGAAAACAACCUAUUUUGGAGUUUUUUGAAGCUCGAGGAUACACGCAACUAAUUGGAACAGCGACAACAGGAAAGCACACACUGCUUGACCACAUCUAUAUUUCAAAUCCGGACCUUUGCCUCCAAUCAGGUGUGUUACAGAGCUACCACAGUUACCACAAUCCUGUGUACUGUGUAUUGCGCUUUAUGUAGAUGAUUUUGUUGUUGUUGUUGUUGUUGUUGUUGUUGUUGUGUUUUGUAUAUUGCAGUGAUUGUCAUACGGAACCGGGGGCACUGAGCAUGCAUUAACGUUGCCAGUGGGGCUAGAACAGCCUUAGCCACCGGGUUGGCGCGUAUGGUUGUGUUUUGGUGUUAUGUCAUACGGAACCGGGGGCCCUGAGCAUGCCUUAACGGUGCCAGUGGGGCUAGAACAGCCUUAGCCACCGGGUUGGCGCGUAUGAUCGAGUUCUGGUGGGAUAUAUGGUCGUAGUGAGGUUUUAUGUUGCAGGGAAAGUAGAGCAGCAGCUACAGCAACACGAAGAAUGAAGAUAGGAGUAGACUGGCAGCUUCAGGAAGGACACUGGACAGUAGAGGCAGCAGCACCAACAACAGACAGUGAGAAUUAGUGCAGCAGCUCCAGGGAGGCAUUUCAGGAAGGGUUUAGACACACUAGCAGUCCUGUCCAAGACUGGAUGUGACUGCAACAUUGUCGAAAAAAGCUAAGUGUUUAAACAUUUACUGUACAAUCACUGUACUAUUGCACGAAACAACCACAUUUUUAGGAAGAUGCUAAUCUUAAUCUGUUUUUGGUUUUGACGUUUUUCAGCAAUUGUGAAGAUGAAGACCGAAAGCCUGAGAAGAUAAAGCGUGUAAAAACACGAUGAGAACCUGCACACCAGGAUCUGGAGAUAUCCAGCCUGUCUGACGAGUCCAAGACUUGAUCAACUUCCUUCAUCUUAUAAUUGGAUGACCAAAUUAAUCUUAUUUAGGCCAUAUUGCAUAAUUUGUUUAUUAUUCUAAAUAUUAAGAAGGUAAAAUGAAUGUAAUGUAAUGUGAGGAUUGUCAGGUUUGGUGGGGCGAGAUUUGACAACAGGUGCUUUUUGUACAUUUUUAAUAAACAUUUUAGG